rnacentral:lncRNA from 1 species
UCUCACCAGGAAUCCCUCGAGUCCAAGGUUAAUGAGACCAAGGCCACAGUCAAGUUCCAGCUGAAAAAGGUGCUUUGCAUGGGUGUUGCCGUUGGCCACCUGGGUAUGGAGGAGAAGCAGAUCUUCCAGAACGUGCAGAUGAGCGUCAACUUCCUCGUCUCUCUGUUGAAGAAGAAUUGGCAAAACGUAUGUCAUGUGCCCUCUGAAUAUUUUCAUGAACAUUUGGCUAUUGAUUGAUUGUUAUAUGUUAAAAUAGAGUACUGAUUGUUCUGUAUUGUUGCAGGUGAGAUGCUUGUACCUGAAGAGCACGAUGGGAAAGGUGUACCGGUUGUUCUAGGCUCUAGUCUUCUAGGAUUUCCAGGAGAUUGACAACUUGGAACUUUUGUUGCUUUCUCAAUUAUCAAAUUUUCGUGCGCGACGAGUGACAAUUAUUGUCUUGUACCGAGAUGGUUUGUUCUAUUGUCUGGAACUUGAUGACAUUUUAUCCGUUGUCCCUGUGCCUUCCUACUGCUCUGCCUGCUGUCAGUCAUCAGCUUAACGCUAGGUUCAGCAUUGGUCCAUUGGUAUUUACGACCGUCAGAAUCUUAUUUUACCGUGUGUCCGUUGGUGGAAUCUCGGUGUAUCCGUGCUGCCUGCUGGGAGCCUUGGAGCAUCCCAGUCGUUUCUUUGGAGUCUGCACGGACGAGUUUUGUCUUUCGUUCUCACUUCUCACCCAUUUCUCUGGAUUGUAUCGCCGUUUGCCCAUCUGGGACUGAAGUUACUGUUCAAGGUGGCAUUUACUAAUUUUAUAUUUCAGUUUCAAGCGCAGAUAACUCCGUGGCCACUAACCACAAAACGGCUAUAAAAACCACAGCCAUCCCGACUCAAAAAACACAACGUCACUAGCUACUGAUCCCAGCCAUGGCAAGCCGAGCUCUCACCCCCUUCCAGUUCGCCGCCAUCCUCCUGGUGGCGCUCUUCGGCAAGUGCAAUGCUGGCAGCAUCGCUGUGUACUGGGGCCAGAACGACGGCGAGGUGUCACUGGCUAAGACAUGCGCGUCAGGUAACUACAAGUUCGUCGUCGUUGCUUUCCUCCCCAAGUUCGGCAAGGGCCAGAAGCCGGAGCUGAACCUCGCCGGCCACUGCGACCCUUCAUCUGGCGGCUGCAAAAGCCUGAGCAAGGACAUCCACUCGUGCCAGCGCCGCGGCGUCAAGGUCCUCCUCUCCCUUGGCGGUGCGGACGGCAGCUACGGCCUCUCGUCCCGCGGCGAUGCACGACAGGUUGCCAUGUACCUCUGGAACACCUUCCUGGGCGGCACGAGCUCGUCGUCUCGUCCCCUCGGGGACGCUGUGCUCGACGGCAUCGACUUCGACAUCGAGAAAGGCGGCUCCAAGUUCUGGGGUGACCUCGCCAGGGACCUCAAGAACUUGGACAAGGGCGUGCUGCUGAGCGCGGCGCCACAGUGCCCUUUCCCCGACCAAUGGGACGACGGCGCGAUCAGGACGGGGCUGUUCGACUUCGUGUGGGUGCAGUUCUACAACAACCCGGAGUGCCAGAUCAGCGCGGGCCGUGGAGCAUUCUUGGCCGCGUGGAAGAGAUGGGAGUCAUUGCCGAUAGGGAAGCUCUUCCUGGGGCUGCCGGCUUCCAAGGACGCGGCGGGCACCGGGUUCGUGCCCGCCGGCAAGCUCAAGUCGGUACUGCCGCUCAUCAAGGGCACGCCCAAGUACGGCGGCGUCAUGCUGUGGGCCAAGUUCUAUGACGACCGCACUGGAUACAGCUCCGCCAUCAAGAGCCACGUCUGAUUCUCCCUGGUGUUUCUUCGCUUCAUUGGUACUCAUGUGUUAAGUGUUUGAGAUAACUCCGUAUUGGUAGCGACUAUGUCCCAAUAUGCAAGGAUCACGGUGUAGUUUCUUUGAAGCCAUGUCCCAAUCACAUCAAAUUUGGAACUCUACAUAUUACAUUGUAAACUACAUCGUUGAUAUUUCUAUAUAAAAUAAAAGUAUAAUUAUUGGUCAAUGAACUAUAGCUCGAGUUCAGCAUCGAUCCUAAAUUUGUUUUUUUUUUAAAUUGCAUCGAUCUUAAAUUUGAAUACCACUAACUUUUUUGAGGGAAUGCCAUCAUGGCGCACUUUAUUAAUUUGGCAAAAUAGUUACAUCAUUAACCAGAGUAUUAAUCAGGAACCCUGGGGGUUCAUCGACCCACGUACAAGAUUCAUUUCUAUCAUAAGCAAACUAACUGACAGCAUAACAUCUCAAUAUUUUAGACAGGACAACUUUGGGCCUCUCCUGCCUAGAAGCAGUUUGAUAGGUGACGUGGCAGUGGUUUCACAUAAGUGGCACAAACUAAACAUUUUCUCAAUACAUCACAACAAUGGUUAAAUAAGGAAAACCGGAUAAAGGAAUUAAAAUAAUAAUGACAUAUUCAAAUUGCAAAGAUAAUCUGUCAAUAAAAAAUUAAGUAGGGGAGAAAACAAGUUUAGGAGUAUUCACGAAAUCUUAGGAAUUAUUUGUGAGCACUCUCUAUUUUUUCUGGGUUUUCCCUCAUACUUAUGAUUUUAUUUUCUUUUUAAUUUCCUUGUUGUAUACCACAUAUGGUGUUCCUAUUUUUUUUCAUUUGUAUUAUAAUUUUACUUAUAUUUUUCUACUCCCUCCAUAUCGUAAUAAGUGAUAUUUUGGGUUUGACGACUAACUUUGAAUGUAACAUAUGUAUAAACAACAUAAAAAUAUAAGAUUUUAGAAAUAUUUUUGAGACAAAUCUAUACUAUGGUAUUUGCAACUUGGAAAAAUUAAAAUGAUACUCAUGGACAAAGUAUAUUUUUGUGACUGAAGGUAUUGCCCAAAACGUCACUUAUUUGUGAUACGGACGGAGUAAUUCUUCUUUUUUUAAUUUCAUCCAAACAUAUUCUUGACUUUACUACUACGUUUACGAAAUCACUUCAAUAUCAUCCAUUAAACCGGCUCGGGUCGGAAGAGGGCCCAAAGCUUUUUAGUUUAAAAGGUGGAGGUGUCAUGUAUUUUGGCAUUGAAGUUGCGGAACCUGUAUUUUUGGAUCAUAACCAAUGAACCAAAACAAAAUGCACGUGUCCAUCAAAUUGACUAGGUGAAAGGCAUUUUCCACUCAUGGAUUGAGAUGGAUUGCAUUAAGGAAUGCUUGACGCACAUCGUCCAUGAAAGAAGAAUGGGAAAAGAAGUCAUGAUGUCAUUGACCAUGCUUUGCUCUUGAGAAAUUUGAAACAAAUGUACCGCGAGAGUCUUCCGCAACAUCCCUACGCUCCACACCUUGUUUUACCUUGCAAUAAAAUUGAGACAAGAAAUUGGGUUUUCUCCGCCGCUACACACUUGAGGUCAUAUUUGGAGGGAGAGCAGACUUCUAUCGUUUCAUGUUGUACUAUACUCUUUCUUAUCAAAUGAAUGAAGGCUAAUUUUUGCCCCCGCUUAAUAUUCUUCUCCCACAAAACUACCGGAACCGACCUAAAAAAGGAAGGAGUCGUUCCUACCUUGCAAGUAUACAGGUCUCUAAGGCGAGGCUGGGUUGUUAGGGCUUCAAUUUAACUAACGGAAUACGUGGAAUAUGCCAUCAAAAGUUUAACUUCAGAAAAAUUCAUCCGAUGAUGAAUCAUAUAUUUUUCUAGUGAUAUAUAAACACAUUUUACUAGUCAAAUUGAGGACCUUAAACCUGUACCUGCCUUAUAAACCCUAAUUGAAGGAGUAUUUGAAAUUAAGCAAUACAUGUAGUUUUGUGAGGUUGUGGAUCUGCAUGAGUACUGAAAAUCACCAAAUUCAGUAGAAACAUUUAAUAUUCCUUUGUUUAGAAGCAUUAACCAUAGUUGAGGUAGCUUCAAGCCGCAAAUUGUUGUGCCACAAUAAACUAUCAAUACAAGUAUGAGAGCAUCUACAACGGGACCCUCAUACCCACUCCAAACAUCCAGAUGGGCUGCUCGGUUAGUCUCCUGACGGAAAAAUGCCAUCUAACCGGGCUCCCCAUAUCCGGCCUAAACGCCCGUACUGACCGGUACUCUCCAUACCUGGCCCAUACCUGGAGCAGCUAUGGGGACGCCUGGAGCGGGUGCCACGUCAGAUCGGUCGACUAGGGCCCGCGCUGCUCCCAUCAAUGCCCCCACAGAUACCCCACUAUAUCGGACAAACCCUAGUUAAACCCUAUCUUUCUCAGUCUGCACCCGUCUUCUCCGCUUCCUCCCAAAUCCACCUCUUCCACCAUGGCCAACUCCGGUCAGGACUUCAACAACGAGCCCGAUCCAUGGACUGGGACGGUCCCGUGAAGGAGGAGGAUGACAGAUCUAGCAUUGCACCAGAUGAGGAGGAGCUCGCGCUCCGCAUCGCCAUCCAGCUCUCGCGCGUGGACACCGAUGGGAGCUCGAGCUCCGUGGCACCCGACGUGAGCUCCUCCACCUUCCGCCAGCGGAAUGCGGGUCAUGGUUGUCCGUCCCGCUUCGCGUCGCUCCAGAUCUGGAGCGCGGGCAUCUCCCCUUCCCCUCCGGCGCCAACAUCACCGGACAGCGGUGGGAGCUCGUGCCUGUGGCUCCCGUGCGGAUGCCCAUGCCAGAGUCGAAGGCGAAGGCGGCCCGGCAGCGGGCGGUGGCCGCAGUAGAGUCCGACUCUUCCCGCCAGCGAGCGCGCUCCGUGAGGUCAUACGACGGUCGCUAACCGCAGCAGAGUCUGACACACGGCGCCUCCGACGCAAGAAUGCAGAGGCGCUCCACCUCGGGCUCGAGGCAUCCGAGCGCCUUGCGCGGGAGAAUGAGACCGCUGCCGCCAAGGCCGUGCACCACGUGAAGGAGCAGCAGCGCCUCCUCCGCCUUCUCUCUGGCUACAUUUCGUCUGCAUCGGAGAGCAGCACCACCACAGACGACGACGACUCUCCCGCCUUCGAUGCGUACAGGGAGGAGAUGGACCGCCGCGCGGCUGACCGCAAGGGCAAGGGCCCGACCAAGCGGUGAACUCUGGCCGACUCCGCCUCUGCAUUUUAUCCAGUUAUAUUUUCUUUGUAUUAUAAGUCCAACGAACUAUGUCUUUUCGGGUCAGAUGCAAUAUGUCCUAUUACCCAUGUGGAGAAAUUUAUCGUUCCAUGUUGAUCUACAUUAAUUUUGUUUAUGUGCGGGCAAAUGACUACUACAGUUGUGGAUAGAGAAAAAUGGACACUGCCCGGUCACUGUCAACGGACAUGUCCGAACACGUCCAUGGGUGUUUGGGGGACUGUUUUUGCGAGUUGUGAUUGUAGAUGCUCUAAGACUGCAUAUGUGCUCUGCCUGGUACUCUGGAGUAGAAAACAGAGGAGAGGGCUCAGCUUUUAUUGCACGUCUUGUUGAUGUUUUGGUCCAGCACGGUAGGGCGUUUGUGAUCUGAACGCACUCUGAUUUAUCAACCAUUGAUCAGUACGAGUAAAUUACGAGAAGAGAUUACCGACCGCAAACGGAACACAAAACAUUGCCGGUAAAUUGGUACUCUGCAAAGCCCAAUUUAGACGCAGGAGCGGACAAGCGACUGCAGGAAAGUCACUAAAAAAGCCUCCAUGACGCUCCAUCAAGACACUAAAAAUCCAAACAUACCCGACAUCCAUCAUCAGAACUAAAAAUACAAAGUGCACCUCCUCACCAGUCUCUAGUCUCUACUCCUUCCUGUACGAGCUAGCUAGCCAGGUACGCUCCACUUGACCCCAGCCAUGGCAAGCCGAGCUCUCACUCUCCUCCAGCUUACCGCCACCCUCCUUGUGGCGCUACUCGCGACUUGCCAUGCCGGCAGCAUUGCCGUCUAUUGGGGCCAGAACGACGGUGAGGCGUCGCUGGCCGAGACAUGCGCGUCCGGAAAUUAUGAGUUUGUCAUCCUGGCUUUCCUCCCCAAGUUCGGUAAGGGCCAGACGCCGCAGCUGGACCUCGGCAGCCACUGCGACGCCUCGUCGGGCGGCUGCAAAAGCCAGAGCAAGGACAUCCACUCAUGCCAGCGCGGCGGUGUCAAGGUCCUCCUCUCUAUCGGCGGCGGAGACGGCAGCUACGGCCUCUCAUCACCCGGUGAUGCACGGCAGGUUGCCAUGUACCUCUGGAACAACUACCUGGGCGGCACGUCAUCGUUCCGUCCUCUCGGCGACGCCGUACUCGACGGCAUCGACUUCGACAUCGAGCUUGGUGGUGCCAAGUUCUGGAACGAUCUCGCUACGGACCUGAAGAACUUAGGAAAGAAGGGAGACAAAACCGUCCUGCUGAGCGCGGCACCGCAAUGCCCGUUCCCGGACGAGUGGGACGGCAAUGCAAUCAACACGGGGCUCUUCGACUUCGUAUGGGUGCAGUUCUACAACAACCCGGAGUGUCAGUUCAGCGCGGGGCGUGGAGCGUUCAUGGAAGCAUGGAAAAGAUGGGAGUCGGUGCCGGCAGGGAAGAUCUUCCUGGGACUGCCGGCCUCCAAGGACGCCGCAGGCACCGGGUUCGUGCCUGCCGGCGAGCUCACAUCGCGCGUGCUUCCGCUCAUCAAGGGCUCGCCCAAGUAUGGCGGCGUCAUGCUGUGGUCAAAGUUCUACGACGAUCGCACUGGAUACAGCUCUGCCAUCAAGAGCCAUGUGUGAUUCCCCUUAGUGUGCUUGGCCUAGUAUUUAUGUGUCGCUUGUCCUGUUUCAUUGUAUCAUGCGUUAAUUGUUUGAGAUGACAUCAUAUUGAUAGCUAGCAUACCGGUGUACAUGAGGAGAUAUGCAUCCAUUGUAAAUAUUUAUGAAGAAUUUAUAUUUCUUUCUAAGCUAAGUCCCAUAAUACAAUUGAGCACCAUGACAUACUUUUCUAGUAUAUCUGUAUGUUACUUUUAUGAUCACCCAGUUAUAAUCUUACAUUUGGCAACCUCAAUGUAUAACAUCCGGUAUGCAGGUUCACCAUAUUCUCAUGGUCUAAAGAUGCGAAUAAACGUUAACACAUCCUAUAUAUAGAUCUAAGUAGUUAAUCUCCACUCCUAAAUUGUCUCAAGAUGCACACAUACUACAUCACUACUCACGCCACCUCAUCAAAGGCCCACCUCACAUGCAUCACUACUCAUGCCACCUCAUCAAAGGCUCACCUCAACAUGCAUGGUGUUUUUUCAUUAAUAGUCGAUCAUCACUUCUCUAUUUAUCUCAACAUGCACAUAUCCUACCUCAUCAAAGACUCACCACAACAUGCAUUGAAAAACAUUUUUCCAUUAUAUUAUGCUACUUAUAUUCAUAUUUUUUUCCUUAAUCAACUGAAAUAUAUCACUCAGUCAAGAAUUACUUGUCUCGGAAAUGGAUGUAUCUAGACGUAUUUUUCGUUCUAGAUACACCCAUUUCUUUCUAUUUUUGCGACAAGUAAUUUGGGACGGAGUGAGUAUACAAUAUGUAUUAAUAAUUUUAGUUUGUAUAUUAUCAAUCCAAAUAUUGAUGUUUCAUAAAUCAAAUUCUAUUGAAAUAUUGCAGUGACUUCCGCAGCAACGCACGGGGUGUCAUCUAGUUAUAUGAAAAUACCAACAAUAAUAUAGAUAAUGUGAUCUCGCAGUAUAUCAUAAGUUGGGUCUAUCCAACACCAUUGUUCUGCUAACAAUGUCGGCAUCCUUGUCACAUUGAGAAUGCCCAUGAUCCAGAAAACAGGAUCAUCAACAAUACUUCAGCUAGUAUUAGAGGCUACACUAGGGAUCUAUUUGAUGUUUAUUUUUCAUCCAUGCAACUGAGUUUUCCACUGAAUCUCACAUUAAAGAAUUAUUGUGAUUAUAGCAUAGAAAUAUAAACUUAAUUAUGAACAUAAAUAAUAAAAAAUAACCUUUGCUAAUGCCUCUAGGUCAUAUUUCCAAUGGUGUGCGAUUAAAAAAAUAGGUUUGACUCGAUGUUUUGAGGCUGGUGGCUAGCUGGGCCGUAGGGGGCUGUUGCUUUGUGGUCCACAUGGGAUCGGAUCACGCUCUCGCUUCUCUCUCCUAACUUGCUUACAACACACAUUCUCUAUCCCAUUCCUUUUGUAAAAAAAAGUCAAUGCAACAACACACUCCCCCCUCCUCCUCCUCCUCCUCCUCUCUCUCUCUCUCUCUCUCCUCUCUUAACUUUUGGAUCCAACAUACACUCAUUUUGAGCCAUGGGACGGUGAACAAGAAACAAUCGUGUCAGAGAAAGGGAAUCGUCCACCCGGUCAACAACAACCUAUGGACAUGCAAAAUACUGUCCGCAUAGCACUGCAAGACUCUUGCAGGUUCGACCCACAUCCUUUCAUAUCAGCCCGACCACAUGCACAAUGUCUACAUCACGAGUGAACAACAACCUGUGGCGAAUGGCGUGGAUAGAGGGUGUACCCACAUCCAAGAGUAGAAAGUCCACUUUUUGCAAAAUAGGGAAAUGUGUGACUACUCCUGGGCUUACCCACACCACUUAUCCUAGCCAUUGUUGAACACUGAGAUGUGUGCGUAGUUAUGAGCCAUGCGAGUGUGUUUGUAGGUUGUGGGUGUUUCAAAACAUGGGUUUGACUCGAUGUUUUUAGCCGAGUGGCUAGCUAGGUUAUAGGGAGGUUGUUGCUUUGUGGCCAAAAUGAGGCCGGACCAGGCUCUCUCUUCUCUCUCCUAACUUGCUUGCAUCACACAUUCUCUCUCAUGCUCUUUGUCUGAAAAUGUCAAUUGAACAACAUGCAUACACUCUCGUUUUGAGCAACAUGCGGAUAAAGAAGAAACAAUCAUGUCAGAGAAGAGGAAUCUCCACUCGGUGAACAACACCUACGCACACGCAAAAUAUUGUUCGCAUAGCACCGCAAACCCCGACCAUUUUUUCGAUAAAUGGUGGUUUUUAUUCACUCAAAUGGAGCAUCAAGAAGACACAAACAUAACGAGCACACACCCGGCCUCUGCAUAGUUAGGAUGCACACAACCAAUACCAGUGAACGCACAUACACAAAAACACCCACAAAUAGCAAAGUCAUAUAAGAGCGAAGCUAUGCGUUGGCGAGAAAAAAAAUACCCCUGCGAUCAGAUCGCGAUUGACAAACUACAACAAUGACCAUAUCCGCACCAACCAACUCAUGACAUUACACGGACAACGAAGUUCUUCAGCAGCAACACCUUCAGAAAGGGAGUGACGCUCAACGUCAUCUUCACUGGAUCCAACCACUCAAGGCCAGAUUCUAGGUUUUCACCUUGAAGAAUCAGUCUAAGCAUGUCCGAAUAAUGCCUUCAACAAGGUAACGAUGGAAAAACAUCGCCAUUGCCAGGUCAGACCUAGGUUUUCACCCCGGAACUUAAGACCAGGUGCUCGAGAAGCACCACCAUCGAAGUCAAUCAUGUGUCGUCGCCACCGUUUUUUCGCCACCCCAACAGCUACCCGCGAUGUACCGCUACUGUUGCACAACCAUCCCUCUACGUUAAUUUAUUGUCUAUAACUUGCAUCUCCUCGCCAAAGUCAAGCACCGAAUCUGAAGAUCGGUGGCCACCGUAAUCCGCAGCAAGGUUGCCGUCGCAGGUCAGAGUAAUAAGGACCAACCCGACAACGAAGCACACCACCGCAGACUACCACUUUGCCAAAGAGAGCUCGCUGCACGGGCCCAUCGGCCUAAGGCUGACAUUGCCGGAGCUAGAGCACAAAAGGCAGAUCAUCAUCACCGACGCGCGCCUGCGGAGCCCGGUCGUUGCUAGAUCAGGAGCACAUAGCCGCCUGCAAGCGAACAAGGUUGUCUCAGCAUACUAAUCCCUUGGAUCUGGAAGCUGAGCAACUGAUCCAGCCGCCAGUGCUCCUUGCGCCGUGACGCCCACACAGCCGAUCUGCUAUGCAGGCCGCACCAGCCAACCACCUCGUCCGCCACCAAAGGAAAUGGAGGGAACAUCAAACCAUGUCGAACGGUGUAGGUAGGCUGUUGCUUUGUGGGACAGAGCCAUGAUUCACACAUAGAGGGGACAAGUUUGCUAAUGGAGGAGGCAAAGUUCUUAUGGACUGAUUUUUUUAACAACAACCAGUACUAAGGAAGAAAAACAAUUCAUUAGGGGGGGAGGGUCUAGCUCCCCUCGCCCCCUAAAUUUGUCCCUAUUUGUGGCCACAUGGGCCCGGACCAUGAUCUUUUCUCUCUCUCCUAACUUGUUUGCAAAACACACUCUUUCUCCCAUUCAUUAUGUAAAAAAACCAUUGCAACAACACACACUCUCUCUCUCCUACUGGGGGGGUUUGGGCUGAACAAGAAACAAUCANNNNNNNNNNNNNNNNNNNNNNNNNNNNNNNNNNNNNNNNNNNNNNNNNNNNNNNNNNNNNNNNNNNNNNNNNNNNNNNNNNNNNNNNNNNNNNNNNNNNNNNNNNNNNNNNNNNNNNNNNNNNNNNNNNNNNNNNNNNNNNNNNNNNNNNNNNNNNNNNNNNNNNNNNNNNNNNNNNNNNNNNNNNNNNNNNNNNNNNNNNNNNNNNNNNNNNNNNNNNNNNNNNNNNNNNNNNNNNNNNNNNNNNNNNNNNNNNNNNNNNNNNNNNNNNNNNNNNNNNNNNNCACACGUAAAAUAGAGCUCUGCUUCGGUACACCCCCCCCGCUCAACGUAUAAGGGCAUUUUGGGCAUACGGUGCUUAACGUAUCCCGCGCCGUAUACGGCGUGCCCAUACAGGAAGAGCCGAGCGCACGGCUCGAGCCGAUACGGCCGACUCGCAUCUACCCCCUCCCGUCGCGCGAAAAAAAGACCCACGACCUAGCGUUGAUCACGCGGCCCAUUCCCACGUCGCCCCGCCCCGCCCCGCCGAUCGCCGCCCUUGCCCGCCGAUCGCCGCCUUUCCCCGGCGAUCUAGCCACGAUCACGCUGCCAAUUCCAACGUCUCCCCGUCCAGCCGAUCGCCGACCAUUGUCCCCAUCUUCACCCGGGAUCUGGCCGCCGUGGACGUUGUUGGAGUCGCCGCCGUACGCGAUCUGGCCUCCGUGCAGGUCAUCGCGGUGACGUGGCCUACGCGGACGCUGUCGCCGUCCGCAACAGCGUGAUCAACCUCUCCGGGAACGUCCUCGCCGUCCGCAGCCAGGCCAGCCAGGCCGAAGUGCACGUACCUGAACGCCAGCGUCUAGGUUUGCCAUCUAAGCCGUCUAGUUUGUCAAAAAAAAUUGUAGCUGCAAAUAAUUAUCUGCACUCACUUGUUUGUUAUGAACUAUUCAUCGGUAUGACUGUAGUACAUUUAAUUUGAUUUUAAAUUGAUAGAUCAAUUUUUAUUUUAAAUGUUGUAGUAUUGGUAGUGAGGUCAUUCAGUGGAUAAAGAAACUAGAUUUACGGACGCGUUCUUGGAGUGAGUGGUAUGGUAGCGACAGUGUUGAUCGUACGAAUGGUAAUGAAAGUAAAAAUGUUGAUGAUAGCAGCGACAAUGAAUCCUGGUCGUCGUACGAUAAUUUACCUGAGGAGGAUUUUCAAAAGAAGGAAGAGGGUGCUUGUAGUGAAAACUUAAGUGACGUGUACAUUCAUUUCGUCGGACGAAGAACCAUAUGGGUACUUACAUGUGCAUAUGAUUUUUUUAUGUGCAGGAGGAUAUUGACGUCCAGAACGAGGAAAAUCAAGGUGUUGAAUCUUUCGCGGAUAACAUAAGUCUGGUUCGGUCCAAACUUUUAGAUGUCAUACAAUAAUAAAAACUUGUUAAUGACAACUUACACUUGCUUAUGUGUAAUAUUGUAGGCUAACUUCGAUGGUUGGAAUGGUGAUGAUGGCUAUGAGCAUGAGGAUGCAACUAAUAUGGACAUUGAGGAGGCUGAAAUCCAGCAACGUGCGCUGGAGACACAGUUGAAGGUUAUGGGUAUGACCUUUGCAUCACAAUGGGAGGCUUACACGUUCUACAAUAACUACGCCAAAGACUGUGGAUUCAGUAUCAGAAAAGAUAAGGUGAAACGAGGAAAAGGUCUUUCAACCACUAUUCGGUAUAGGCGGUACAUUUGCUCGAGGGCAGGAAAACGACUGAGUAAAUUUUUAAACCCGGAGGGCCGUACCCGCAGGCUAAGACCUGAGACUCGUUGCGAGUGUGGCGCAUAUUUAGUUGUGAAGUUGGACAAAGGACGUGGAGUUUGGUUCGUGGCAGCUUUUAUGGAUGAUCACAACCAUUUGUUGGCUAGAGCAGAUGAGGUGGUAUUUCUAUGGUCACAUAGAGUGAUGGGAAAUCACCAGAUAGCUGAGAUCUUGGCGAUGGAAGGAGCUGGGAUCAGAAAGCAUAUCAUCGUCGACAACUUCAUUAGCAGGUAUGGUUCGUAUGAUAAGUGUGGGUUUCUGAGACGAGACGUCUACAACCUAUGCUGCCGUGAAAAAAUGAAGUUGAUUUCGAAGGGUGAUGCUAACAUGGCAAUUGGGAUUAUGAGGAGCAGAAAGGAUAAGGAUCCAGACUUCUUCUUUGAGUACGUGCUCGAUAAGGAGGGCUGUUUAAAGAGCAUGUUGUGGUGCGAUGCACAGUCGCGGCGGGACUAUCAGUUGUAUGGAGAUGUGACUAUGUUUGACAGCACGUAUAAGAUGAACAGAUACGGUAUGCCGUUCAUCCCCUUUGUUGGUGUAAAUAAUCACCGUUGCACCACAGUGUUUGGUUGUGCCAUUGUGUCCGACGAGACCGAAGCGACGUACGUGUGGCUGCUCCAGACAUUCCUGAAGGCCAAUUGUCAGAAGAAGCCAAGGUCAAUCAUCACAGAUGGAGACGCUGCAAUGAUACGAGCUAUUCGGUUGGUUUUGGUUGAUGUGUUGCACCGUCUCUGCUCAUGGCACGUGGGAAAAAAUAUGCAGAAGCACCUUAAUUACAAUCACUAAAUGAGUUCAGGGCACUCUUGUACUACUCCACCUUUCCGGCCAACUUUGAGGCGAGAUGGCACGCUUUUGUCCUUCAAUGAAAGACUGAUAAAACAGAAGAGUGGCUGCGUAGGAUAUACAGGAAGAGGAGUCUGUGGGCAACAUCAUAUCUGUCAGAUGGUUUUUUUCUGGGUAUGCGCAGUAAUCAGAGAAGUGAAAGCCUUAACUCUUGUCUUCACCUUCACCUGGACGACGGUAUGACUAUUGUUGAUCUAGUUGUGCAUUAUGAGAAUUGCAUAGUUCAACUACGUCAGAACGAGGCGCAUGAUGACUGUGUUUCUAAUCAGUCAUUGCCACCAUCAGUCACAGAAUAUAAGGACAUUGAGAAGCAUGCUGCCAAAGUAUUCACUCAUUCCAAUUUUUAUAUUUUUCAACAAGAUCUGAAGAACAUGGGAGAGCUUGAGAUUUUUGAGAUGCUAGUUGGAGUUGACUGUCACACCUUCAUCGUGACAUGGAGAAAUAACUGCAAAUUUCAGUUCAGCGUGAAUUAUGGAGCUGAAAACUCUGGCAAUACUAUAGACUGUAGUUGUGGACGAAUGCUUCGGAAAGGGUUGCCUUGCAAACACAUUCUAUAUGUGUUGGUUCAUCUGAAAAUAUCUGAAAUACCUAAGUGUUGCAUCCUUAAGAGGAUGUCGAAAGUUGCGAGAGGUGGGCUGCCUGCACAGCGGAAGAGUGACAUGUUUGGCUGGGGUGGACAGGGGCAGAGCAGCGUGCUCGCUAUAGUCAACUCAGUAUAACAGGAGCAGAAGCUUUCCAUGUUGCAUCAAAUGAUCCAUUCGUCUUUGAUGAGAUGAUGCAGUGUCUACAUAAUAUAAUAGCUAAGAAAAAGGUCCCUGAUGAUGAUGCUGUUGGUAGUAGAAGGAAUGUGCAUGAGGAGCCACGUGAGCCGGAACAACAUGUUGAUGUCAUAGGUGAUCCCGUAAAAGUUUCCACGAAGGGCACCCCUAAACAGAGCAAGACAGGGCGGGCAAAGAAAGAUCCAAAUGUUACAAAAAAUGGAAGACCAAAAUCAUUUUCUGAAAGAAAACCCGGUCCUCUUUGUGGCAUAUGUCGCGAAGAGGGCCAUAGACGGCAAACGUGCCCCCAGAAUGAAAAGUAAGUUUUACAUUUUUAAUUAUUUUUUGUUUCACUCUUUACAAUUGUCUGAUGAGUUGUUUACAAUUUGUUAUGUAGGAACCGGUUAUGAAGAUGAAGUAGAGCUCUAAAUCAAUGGAAGGCAUUGGGACAGAGUUCAAGUAGCAUGUCGUUGUUGCUACACGUACUAUAUUUGCAGACAAUUUUUUUAUGUUUUAUUAUCGCUUUUGUGUGAGACUAAACAUUUAAAUGCGUGUCCAACUAUCAUUGGUACUGUUUUGUGAGACGGAAUGUUAUAAGUGUGGGCAACUAAGUGUGGGCAACUAGUGUUAUUUACGUCUGUGAUGUUAUACGUACUGUUGUUGUUUGUAUUCACGGCGGUCAUUUUUUCUAAUAAAAAAUACCCCCGCUGUCCUGAGUUGGCGCCACCAAGGCACAGUGGCGCGAUGUGGACAAAACGUGCACAUGAUCCCAGAACAAUUUUGGUGGCAGCAGCGGCGCUGGAUCCGAUGAUGAUCCACCUGGCAGCAUGAUUGGCGCACCAUCCCACGAAUAUUCCAGCCCAGCCCGUGCGGUGGCCGACAGCCGAGGCAGUGGCGGGCCCGCGCAGUCCAGCUAGUGCGGUCCGGCAUGAUUCGCCGUGCGCGACGCGCGUGUCUGGUGGCCCAGGCGCCGACCGAGCGACAGCCGCGGGCCCGGUCGCAGACGUCUCGUCCCGCCCGACCGAGCGGACAUGGUAUUCCGAUGGUUAAAGAUUCAAGUCUUAGUGGCAAAGGGGGACAUCUUUGGCCUGCAACCGUUUCCACUUUACGGCCCACAGCUUGUGUUCUUCGGUAUUAAUUCGGUUUCUGUUUGUUUGGCUUGUCUCGUGCACCACCUGAAUUGAAUCAUAGUAAUGGGACUUUGGUAAUCCAGUGAUGAAGUCAAUGCUGAUAAUGGAAACACCUCAUGGAUAGUGACCACCCCAUCUAAAAUAUUUCCGUUUUUCAUAAAUGCAGUCUGACUCUUACUCACCACCUUAUCUGCAACUCUCUCAAGCCUAUUUGUCAGUACUUUAGUCACAAUUUUCUAACAAACAUAAUAUAAACAUAUUGGCCGAUAUUGCUUGAUAGUUGCAGCUACCUCCCUACGGCGAUUCAUAACUAGAAGAACUCGUUGGCACAACCGGACCUUAUUAAAGGCCUCGGCCGUCUGAUCAACUGAAAGAUCUUAUCUUGGAGUUCUAGUAUGGGUCGUCGGCCCUUUCUCCUCCAGAAGAGGGCGGCUCCCUGGAUUGAACACAUAAAGUAGUGCCAAGAUCUCCUCUAUGCGAGAGAGAAGUUCUCAGAAAUGAUGACCCAUCAACCUACUAGCAAUAGGGGAGAAAACUUAGCAUGUCGCAACAAAAGCGUCGAUUCGAGGCGCCAGCAAAACACCGCCGUCUGUUCCUAAAACAAAACCCCUUAGCGCCCCGGGACGGGAGUGGGGGACGGCCCUACGCAGACAGCAGCAGCACCGGCUCUACGAAGUCCGAAUCGAAUCUUUUGGUUGGCUUUCCCGUGAAUAAGAAUUGUUGGGCGCGGCGAAGCGAGCGCUUCUAGCUGUUUCGCUUGCUUCUUUCUUAUUGUGGCGGGCAAAUUUCCAAUAAAAUAUAAUAUCUGGGAUUACCAAUCAGCAAAGACAAGAUCUCUUCUAAGUACAAGCUAUGGCGGAGCCGUUUACCAAUGCACCCAGUUCUCCUCAUAUUUGAUUCUUUUUUUGGUAUCAUUGGUUCCACAUACGUCUUUUGGGCGAGCUUUCUUCACUGUCAUCAAAACCAACGCUCAAACCGAAGCUUUCCGAGCAGUUGUUUAUUUCUCACUUGCUUUAAUGCGAGGGCAGGGUAUCUACUCGCUUUCUUGCCUUAUCACGAGCUAUUGAGAACGGAUCUAAGGGCAUCCCUACCUACAAUCCUUCCUUGGUGCCCCAUUCCUAUCUUCUUUUCCAGAUCCUUUUUUUACAUUGAGCAGGGCCUUUAUCUCCCUAGCUAAGGUUGGUACAAUCCCUCUAUAAGUAUUUGUUAGUGGGCCAAACUACCCAUAAAAAAGAAGAGAGAGAGCUGUAAGAGCGGUAAAAGCAAGCUCGGUGGCCCGGUUUCACUACAGGUUGAUAUAUCCUUUUGAAAGAAAAGUCUGGUUGUGAGACAUCUUCCUCUUAGUGCUACAAAUGGCUUCUUCCUUAGUUCUUUAUAGCUCUUUCACCUCUUUUAGACUCUCUCCAAUGUUUAGUGCGGGGAACUCUACACUAUUGUACUUAGAUGCUAUUCCUUCAAGAAAGUAUCGGAAAGCAAAAAGGGACUCGUUCAGGCUUUGGUAUAAACAUAAAUCCCAUAAUAGAGGGAUCGAUCAUCACAUUCUGCUUUGUUAAGAAAGAAGGAUAACCUAGAUGGAUAAAGGUGGAAUGGACUACGUGCAAUCCCAUCCAUGGAAAUAUUUUAUUUACUGUAUAAAUAUGUAUGAUGUGCUGCUAGGAAAUCCACCAUCGCUUGCCACCAACCCAUACUAUUCCUCUAUAUCGAAUGACCCCAUUAUGCAAUGAAUAUUUGCUAUUCUUGUGAGGCUUUUUCAACCUAUAAGCAGACCUUUGUAUACACCCUUGUAACUGAACUAGCUAUUCACAAAGAAAGGUCUAUGGCACUGCACCGGCGAGGGAAAGGGAAGCUGAUGAGAGGUAAGGGAAAAGUCCAUUUAAUGAAUAGGUUCACUACAGACUGUACUAUCUCUAGACCCCCUCUCUAUACUCCCUCAUAAUAUAUGGAUCCCCCGCAAUUGGGAUUUAGAGUCCCAUGCGUGAAACUAAAGAGGAUUUUCAGUCCUCUGCUCUACCAGCCAGAACCUAGAAGGACACUUCACACCCGAUUUGACACAGCUAGACUGGAAACACUGCUUGUCAAGAGCACAGACCCCAGUAUAGAAUACUUUUUUGAGUAUGUUGGUAAGGUCCGCUAAUUGAACCGUCCGUCUUCAUCUUAAUCCAUUCGUUUCCCCGUGGUCAACACACAAUAGAAUAUGUUUGUUUUUGAUCGGAUUGAGACAAAAGUACCAUUUUUAGGAUGUUCGCCGAUUCUUCCUCUUCUUUCUCUCAUAAAACUGGAGAUAAGGUUGAGUAGAGAAAGGUGGGUCAUUGUCCCAACGUAGUAGUAUUUUUGUUUUGUUUUCAGCUGAUCUAUAUCAAAAUAAUAGAAUAAAUAAAGGCAAAGGAUUUGGUUCAGUCGUCAAGUACAGAUUUCCUUUACCCAGAGUUGGGAAAAAGGUAGCUUUAGCCAUUGUGGGUAGAAGCUAGUCGCCAGAAGCGAAGCAGCGAUCUUCCGGGCCGGAAAGGUUCUAUUUUUCUGACGCGUAAGCUACCGCAAAAUUGCCCUUCUGACUUCUUCUCUUGUCUGUCCUUUACGCAAAGCGAUCUAUGGUCUCAACAAGCCCCGAUAGCGUCGGUUUUUGAAGUUCAGGAUGCCACUUGGCUUUCGCGGGCUGGUGCAACGAUCCCGAGGGGGAUUUCUGGCGAUCUGUUUCCCUCGGAUCAUCGGCCCAUUAACGACGCGCGUCGGGCGCGUGGGCCGGCCCUUUAAGGUCGCUUCGUGUGAGGCUAGGGACGCUGGCGCAUUGCGGCGACUAGGUUUAGUCCCACCUCUCCCGUCGAGAGACGCCACGACCGGUUUAUAUACCCACGUCGUCGCCGUUCUCACAAGCUCACUACAAACCACUACAAUGAAUGCCCUGUUGUACGCCGUGGCCAUGCCACUCGGCGGCCGAAAGGCCGUCCCGAAGGCGUUCUAGUAAAGUCUCCAUGUGCGCGCCCGACCACUCCUGGGCCUUUUUUUAAAUAUGUUUUUUUUUCACAUAGAUUAUUAUUUUUAUAUCUUUAACAGUCGAGAAAAGUCAUGACAGCAGUAACACAUUCAUACAAAUAUAUCAUAUUUCACACAUAACAAUUAAAAUGUCAUGUCUCAUAACCCUUAACAAAGUAGCAUAACGAAUAAACUGGAAGUGCCAUGUCUCAUAUCCUUUAACAAAGUAGCAUAACAAAUAAACUGAAAGUGCCAUGUCGCAUUACAAUCGAACAAAGUGAUAAGUACCCAACAACGGCAGGGAAACCUUCUACGGGACUAAAACCCUACCCAUGCUAAUACCUAUUCCUUCUCCAUGAUUUUAACAAUUUUCAUCUUGACCUUCUCUAAUGUGUUCACCUCCGAAAAAAUAAUUUCCGCGACAAUACGUGGCCUUGAUGCAUUAAUCUCUUCCUGGUCAAAUUCAUAUGUCCAUCGAUCUUCGUCCCAGUGUUCUAUGCACCACAUCACAAAAGGUCCACAAGACACUCUGCAAUAAACACGUGGGAUCAGCUUAGGACGUAGCAUGCACUUGCUUGUACUAGUUGUAUGCAGUAUGAACUUACCCAUCUUUUUGUCUCAACAUUUCGUACUCAUUUAUUGGCCACGAUGAGACAUCUGGAUAUUUUUUUGCUUCAAGAGUUGAGUUGGCCUCCAUAAUAUCCUUAGAAAUUUCAGCUCUCUGAAACAAAUUAACGAAACCAGAAUAUAUAUUUGUUCCAAUAUAAACCAGAAUAAUGUAUGUCGCAAUAUAAACCAGAAUAAUGCAUGACCCAAUUUUUUUAAUGUGAGUGCGAAAAUUAUAGCGUACCAGUAUGGCAAUCAUAUUGCGAAUUUUUUGGCUAAUUGCACCAUUAGAAUUUGAGUCAAGAACUUGAAACUCCUCCUUGACGGUGUGCAUCACUAUGGUUAUCCAAUGAUUCUCGUUAACGUGCAUAGGAAAAUACGCCUACAUAACAACCAAAUGAUGUUAGUGCAAUUAAAAACUAUUGACUAAGAAAAACUAAUAAAUAUGAAAGCAAUACCUUGUCCCGUGCGAAAUACUCAUCCAUUACUCUCGUGAGGACUUUAUUUUCUUUGUAAGCUUCUCUGAGUUUAUAUUAUUUACUGACUUGGUCUUUCCCCUUGCCCUAUUCAACAUAAAUUUGGGGAACCACGUUGUUGAUAUGUGACGAUCAGCAAAACCACGGUGUUGUAGGUGCUUACAAUAUGCAUUGAUGAUCUGCAUACAUUAGUAUAAAAUUUCUAUCAACUUCUAAAGUACAAAUGAGGGUUCUAUUAAAAACAAAUCAUACUUACAUCGCCAUUCAACCAUUUAAACAUGAGGACAUCAUGAAGCAUAGCUGGCGUGCAUAUGUCCCCAUCUGGUGGUGGCACAUUAACCACGGUUCAGUGCACAUGCUUCUUUGACGAUGCAAGAGUCUCAACAAAAACUGUGGCUGCCUCUAUGUGAUCCGGAGUCAUAUUAAGAGAACUUGCCAGAAUUGAAUGCGGUGACGAUGCAAACAGAUCUAAAGCAAUGCAGUUACGGUCAGUUAAAUAAUAAAAGAAAUUACAUAAGGCAUGAAUGAAUAAUAAAGUAGUAUUUGACUUACUUUUUUAACACGUUUCUUGCGGGUAAUGAGAAGGUCGUAGGGGGAUUGACAAUAUUUCGACGCAUUUCGUUUGCGUUUACCUUCAUUGUCCCGACUGCCAUAACCAUUAGCUAUAUUGCUCUUUGCCGGGAAACUCUCGAACGUUCCUUCGGACUUUGUUGGUGACAAACCACCCAUAGACUCACCAGAAAUAUCAGCAUUCUGCGGGGUUCGGGACAUAGACGGAAAGUCUUUUGUCCAUACAGUUGAUGCCGAAGAUGGAGAGUUUCCAUUAUCGUCUAUAAUGAAAGGAUCAGUAGCUUCACCUUUACCCGGUGUCGUCGCCAGAGCACCGUGUCAUCAACGGGCACGGAGGUAUCAUUCAUACCCAUGAAAGAUGUUCCUAUCUUUACGUCGGUAGGUGAUUCAACAUCUGACCAAUAUUUUGACUUGUACUUGCCAUUCUGCAUCCCAACUCCUUCACCUACAUCAUCAAAUUCGUCAAUGUUGUCCCUCUUAUUGGGUUUGUACAUCACACCUUCCGUGUUCAACCUUUCCAUUACCAUCUACAAACACAAAUGAAACACGAUAAGUAGUUGAAUAAUUAAAGCACAUUCAAUACAACUUCUAAAUUACCUGUGCACAUCUUUCGGGAAUAUUGAGAACCUCCUUGUGAAGCAGCUUUAUGUAUGUCAUCACACGGUCCAUACUAUAAUUCAUGUUCGAUGAAACUGCCGACGUGCUUGGCUUUCUACUCCCGCCACCACCUUUCCGUUUAGUUUUGUUCGUUUCUUCCUCUGGGACAGUCCCUUCACGUGCAACCUUAGCACGUCUGUACUCUUCGCUAAUGCAGUUUUCAAUCUGUACAACAAACAAUAAAAUGAAUUAAAUAACGAAUAUACUUAAUUACUAUGUGGAACAAAUAAGGACUAUACUUAUUGACUUACAUUGCCAGUACCCCGCCCGUGUAUGUUGUCAUAGUCGUCUCGCUUUUUCUCUUCCGUUUCUGGCCAGUUAAGCAUUAGUGGGUAUUCACGAGACAAAGGAUCAAAUGCAUCCAGACCAAUUGGCUCAAGUUUUUCCCAGUAUAUAUACUGCAUGAUAGUAAACACAAUUAGUCAGACACAUAUAUCACAUAAAAAAUAUAUGUACAUACAACUAUUACGAAAUGACUUGUAACUGAAGAGCUAAGUUCCCGAUAGGCCAAUGGAAUUUUUCAAGAUCUUCGACCGUUUUUUUAAUAGCAUCCAUGCACACCCCCAACGUGAAAUCGUUCCAAUUGUAUGACUUGAUAGCGUUGACGUCCUCCACCAUUUUGUAAUAAUGAUAAGGAAAAAACUUGGUGGAUUGUGGUGCUAAGACUGUACCCAUAUGAACCAGUACGACCCUUCUCACAAAAUCAUCAUCAUAUGACUGACUAUCAACAAUAUUUUUUAUCAAGUCAUCGAUGAGGAUUAGGCCUGUUCUUUUGUCUAGAAACCGAUUCGGAACAAUUUUUUUGGCAUCUAGUUGUACUGUUGCUAUCAUGCUAAUCACAUCAUCACCCUUGUUACGUAGCCCGAAUAUGUCAUAAACAUCUUCAUUAAGCAUAGUGAUGCCGUCAGUAUUUGGCCGAAUAAUAAAUCGCUUUCUACUAGUAUCAUACGAUUGUAAUCAUAAAUUCCAAUACAUUUUUUCUCAUUUUCACCGAAGGAAUUCUCAACAUACUGUCCAAAUUUGUGCCACGUAGCCUCAUGCGCUGUCUGGGUGUGAAUUUUCCCACCAAUUCGCACUACUUCUCAACCGAGCAGUACACAUCUCCGUAUUCUUGCAUUCUAAAUAACUCAACCGAGCAGUACACAUCUCCGUAUUCUUGCAUUCUAAAUAAGAUGAACGUUAUUUGACUAGUUACGAGAUUUAGAAAACAUUACACGUGGUUUAAUACCAUAUCUUCCGGCGACGCGAGGUGCACCGGCAGCCCCCGUUGGCUAUCCCCACCCGGUGUGGGUUAGUCGUGGCAGCCGCGUGCCCUCUGCCCACACCACCGCGGUGGCCGAUGACCCGCCCUAGGGUUCUGGGUGUGGGCGACUUUGCCGAGACGGCCCGGCCGGGCCGAGAUCCAAGUCGCACGCGUAGAUGCCAGAGUGUAUGGCCGUCGUGAGGGCGGCAGGGAAGGGAGUUGGGACGGCCACGGCGGUGCGACCGUGGGAUCGGGGUGAGGUCAUGCCUGGAGGCGCCGAGGUUAGGCGGUCGUGGGGCGAGGUAAUGGCGGCGUGGUUUCCAUGCCCAUGCACGCACGUACGGCGUCAUAGACGUGGUCACGCCAUAGUGGGCCUAUUGGCCCGUCCCGUAAAACUUCCGCCGGCUGGCCCAUGAUGCAUUUAUUGAAAACAAAUAAAUGCAUUUUACUUUAACAUCUCUAGUUUAAUACCACAUCGCUAAGCCGGCGCGCCGUUGACUCCUUUAUAUACUUUUGUUUUUUGACAUGAACAAACAUCUGUGUUUCUGGGACUCUAUUUGGAGGAUAUGCAGGAUCGAUGUGAGACUUCACCUGCUCAGAGCUUGUGAAGGUUCACAAGGAUCAUGCAUAUUCUUCAAAAAGAGAGCCAUUAUCUCCAAUGUUUUUUUAACGACAGAAAAUAUUAAUGCGUUUUUUUGCUGAUAGAAAAUAUUAAUGCGUUUUUUCUAACUCAACCAUUCAAAUUUUUCGACACCGUACGAAUUUCUUAGGGUUUUCCCCGUGAAACACACCGAAAACACUGACCGGGCGUGACGCAACGUGCGUUUGGUGCCAGAAUUCGUUCUAAUCUUGCAUGGGGUCCUACGAUGGGCAUGCCCACUUCCUGCCAAAAUUGGGUGACAUUUCAUGCAUGCCACCUCGUACCACCUAUGCAACCAGCACUGAUCGGAUAUGAAGGAGGUCAGCUCCGUAGUGCAUUCUCUUUUCUGACUCAGCCGGCGGACCCCAAACUUUUUGCACACGCCCGCAUCACCAGGGCCAUCAUGCAUCAUGCGUGCAAGUUUUCAUAAUUUUUCGACACCGUACGAAUUUCUUAAAGUUUUCCCAUUGAAACGCACCGAAAACACUGACCGGGCGUGACGCAACGUGCGUUUGGUGCCCGAAUUCGUUCUAAUCUUGCGUGGGAUCCUAUGAUGGGCAUGCCCACUGCCUGCCAAAAUUGAGGGACAUUUCAUACAUGCCACCUCGUACCACCUAUGCAGCCAGCACUGAUCAGAUAUGAAGGAGGUCAGCUCCGUAGUGCGUUUUCUUUUCUGACUCAGCCGGUGGACCCCAAACUUUUUGCACACGCCCGCAUCUCCAGGGCCAUCAUGCGUGCAAGUUUUCAUAAUUUUUCGACACCGUAUGAAUUUCAUAGGGUUUUCGGAAUAAUUAUUAAACAUUUCAUAAAUUAUUAGUUAUAACAAAAAACUCAUUUUUUUAAUAAACUGAAAUAUGUUAGUUCUUACUUAUAAAUUAUAAAAAAACUCAUUAUUAUUUUUGACACAAAUAACAAUAGUAAAGUUGCCAUAUGUAUAAUUUAAAUACUAAAUAAAUUCUUGAUUAAAUAUUUUUUUAAUUAUGGAACAUUUUUUAACUAAUAAAUUAAAUAAUCAACAUUACAUAAAUAUGAAAAAUAGAAUUACUAAUAUAAUAUAACUACUUCAUAAAUUCUAUAUUAAGUAGUGUUUUUCAAUAAUUGUGAAACAUUUAUUAAACGAUAACGAAAGGCAUAAGUAACUAAAAAACUUAAGACUAUUUUUGACACAAAAAACUAAAAAAAAGUCCACGACGGCGCGCGUUGGCCGCCCAAUGAGGUGCGCCACAACGCGCGUGGGCCGGCCCAUUGACUGUGCCGAUGGUGCGGGGGCAGGGUCGGCGGGGGUCAGGACUAAAGUUUAGUCCCACCUCGCCCGCCGAACGACGCCGCGACCCCCUUAUAUACCUGCCUCCCACAACCCUUUCGAACUCAUUUGAAUCUCGCCUCGUCCCGCCACUGCCCCGUUGUGACCGUCCUGCAGGCCGUAGCUGGGCCGAAAGGCUGGCCCUUUCGCCGCCCGGCUUGAUCGGGCCGGACCGAUUAUGCACAGUUGCGGCCUGCAAGGAUGGUUGGGCCAUUUUUUUGCCUCACUUUUUUUGUCUCCUAUGAGUCACGGCGCAGGGGGAGGUGGGAGGGGCGCUUGUUUAGUCCCACCUCGCGCGCCGAGAGAUGCCACGACCGGCUUAUAUAUCCGCGUUUGUGCUCUUUGUUAGAUAAAAUAGCUAAUACUAAUGAGAUUUGACGUUACAUAACUACCCGGGCAACACAACACUGCUGCCCGGGUAGUUGUGUAAAGUCAAAUCACUUUAUUAACUAGCUAUCUUAUUUUUUUAUCAUUUUGUCACUCCGUGCACUUUUUAUCAAAUAAUAUUCUAUAUUCAAUACUGUUUCUUUAUAAUUAUGGAACAUUUUUUAAACGAUAACAAAAUGCAUAUAACACUACUAAACUUUGCACAUAACAGUACUAAACUUUGCAUAUAUGUACAAUUAUUAAGGGUGUUUUCCAAAUUAUUAGUUAUAGCAAAAAACUCAUUAUUAUUAUGGAAUUUUUUAUCCAUUAGUGAAGAAGACAUAAAAAUUUAAAUAAUGAACAUUACAUAAAUAUUAAAAAUCUAAUUAAUAAUUCUAUUUUAAGUAGUGCUUUUUAGCCAUUAAUGAACAUUCAUAAAUAUUAAAAAUGUAAUUAAUAAUCUACACAAAUAACUGAAAAAAAUAUUUGCAGGACGGCGCGCGUUGCCGGCCCAGUUACGGUGCGAGACGGCGCGUGUGGGCCGGCCCAUUGACGCUGUGGUGGUGCGGGGGCAGGGUCGGCGGGGGUCAGGACUAAAGUUUAGUCCCACCUCGCCUGCCGAACGACGCUGCGACCACCUUAUAUACCUGCCUCCCACAACCCUUUCGAACUCAUUUGAAUCUCGCAUUGUCCCGCCACUGCCCUGUUGUGACUGUCCUGCAGGCCGUAGCUGGGCCGAAAGGCCGGCCCUUUCGCCGGCUGGCUUGAUCGGGCCGGACCGAUUACGUGCAGUUGUGGCCUGUAAGAAUGGUUGGGCCUUUUUUUGCCUCACUUUUUUUUGCCUCCUAUGAGUCACGGCGCGGGGGAGGUGGGAGGGGCGCUUGUUUAGUCCCACCUCGCGCGCCGAGGGACGUCACGACCGGCUUAUAUAGCUGCGUUCGUGCACUUUGCUACAUGAGAUAGUUAGUAAUAAUUUGAUUUGACUUUGCACUGCCAGGGGCAGCACUGCCGUACUGCCCGGGCAGUGUAAGCUCAUUACACUAUCCAGGCAGUGCGUCAGAGCUGCCAGUUGCAGUGUAAACUCAAAUCACAUCAUUAUUAUUUGUCUUAUUUUUAUCGUUUGCCACACUACAGAAAUUUUGUCUCACCCCGUCCGAAAGAAGUUUUUUUUGACAUUCUUCAAAUGAACCCAAAUAUUUUUCAUAGUGUUGUACCAUCAUGACUAGUAUGCAUGACAAGUUUCGUUGCUUUUUGCCACUUUAUGAAUUUACAACAAUUUUUCGGUGAAAACACCUAAAACACUGACCGGCCGUGACGCAAUGUGCUUUUGUUGUCGAAAUACGAUCAAUUUUUGGAUUCAGUGUGGGAGUGGGCAUACCAAACUCACUUGCAAAAUUUCAGGCAAUUCUGAAGAUGGCAAAAAAUUGAACUCGUUCUCCGGAGACCCUUCAGGUAGCAGCAAAGGCCCCAUCCGAAAAGGUUUUUUUUCGAAUCAUGACUAGGAUGCAUGACAAGUUUCAUGGCCUUUUGCCACUUUAUGUUUUUUCUAUAAUUUUUUCGGUGAAAACACCUAAAACACUGACCGGACGUGACGCAACGUGCUUUUGCUGUUGAAAUACGAUCAAUUUUUGGAUUCAGUGUGGGAGUGGGCAUACCAACUCACUUGCAAAAUUUGUGGUCAUUCCGAAUAUGUCAAAAAAUUGACCUCGUUCUCCGGAGACCGUUCGGGUAGGAGCGAAGGCCCCGUCCGAAAUAAGUUUUUUUCGACAUCCUUCAAAUGAACCCAAUUUUUUUUCAUAGUGUUGUACCAUCAUGACUAGUAUGCAUGACAAGUUUCGUGGUUUUUUGCAACUUUAUGAAUUUUCUAUAUUUUUCUCGGUGAAAACACCUAAAACACUGACCUGACGUGACACAACAUGCUUUUGGUGUCGAAAUACGAUCAAUUUUUGGAUUCAGUGUGGGAGUGGGCAUACCAACUCACUUGCAAAAUUUGAGUUCAUUCCGAAUAUGUCAAAAAAUUGACCUCAUUAUUCGGAGACCGUUCGGGUAGAGGAGCGAAGGCCCCGUCCGAAAAGGCGUUUUUUUCGACAUCCUUCAAAUGAACCCAAUUUUUUUUCAUAGUGUUCUACCAUCAUUACUAGGAUGCCUGACAAGUUUCGUGGUUUUUUGCCACUUUAUGAAUUUUCUACAAUUUUUCAGUGAAAACACCUAAAACACUGACCGGACGUGACGCAACGUGCUUUUGGUGCCGAAAUACGAUCAAUUUUUGGAUUCAGUGGGAGUGGGCAUACCAACUCAUUUGCAAAAUUUCAGGCCAUUCUGAAGAUGGCAAAAAAUUGACCUCGUUCUCCGGAGACCGUUCGGGUAGGAGUGAAGAACCCGUCCAAAAAGGAAUUUUUUCGACAUCCUUCAAANNNNNNNNNNNNNNNNNNNNNNNNNNNNNNNNNNNNNNNNNNNNNNNNNNNNNNNNNNNNNNNNNNNNNNNNNNNNNNNNNNNNNNNNNNNNNNNNNNNNNNNNNNNNNNNNNNNNNNNNNNNNNNNNNNNNNNNNNNNNNNNNNNNNNNNNNNNNNNNNNNNNNNNNNNNNNNNNNNCAUGACUAGGAUGCAUGACAAGUUUCGUGGCUUUUUGCCACUUUAUGAAUUUUGUACAGCUUUUUCGGUGAAAACACCUAAAACACUGACCGGACGUGACACAACGUGCUUUUGGUGUCGAAAUACGAUCAAUUUUUGGAUUCAGUGUGGGAGUGGGCAUACCAACUCACUUGCAAAAUUUGAGGUCAUUUCGAAUAUGUCAAAAAAUUGACCUCGUUCUCCGGAGACCGUUCGGGUAGGAGCGAAGGCCCCGUCCGAAAAUGCGUUUUUUUCGACAUCCUUCAAAUGAACCCAAUUUUUUUUGAUAGUGUUCUACCAUCAUGACUAGGAUGCAUGAAAAGUUUCGUGGCUUUUUGCAGUCAAGACAUUUUGUACGAUUUUCACGGAGAAAACACAGUAAACUACUCUUCGGAGAUGCCGCAACAUGUGUUUGGUGUGGGAAUACGUUCAAUUUUUAGUUGAGUGUUGGGGUGGGCAUAUCAACUCGUUUGCAAACAUUGAGGUCAUUCUGAAGGUCGUUUUUUAAUGUAUAUACACAUAAUUUAUAAAGUAUAAAUAAAGGUACAUAUGUAUAAACAAUUGUGAGGUUUUUUAUAAUGUAUAAAUAAACACAUUAGUAAAACAUAUUUUCUGAAUAUUAAUUAAAAAACAAAAUACAAUAUAAAUGACACGGGGCGUCUGUCCGGUCAGUUUUUUGUUUAUUUUGCGUCUUUCCGUUUAUUCUUUCACAAUUUUAGGGUUCAAUAUUUUAACAAUUUUCAUAAUGUUCGAAUACCACGACAAUUCAUUACAUCAUCAAAUGAAACAUACCAAUUUUUUUAGAUAAACCGACCCGACUUCAUUCAUAAUUGAAGAUAGACUUAAACCAAUCCGACUACAUAACUUAGAAUCGAAUUUAAAUUUAAACAUAAACUUAAAUUAAACAUUAACUUAAACCUAAACCUAACCUAGACAACUCCUCGUCGCCGCCGCCGGUGAGAUCGAUGACCGGCGCCAUGCCGCCGUCGCCGUCGUCGCCACUGAAGUCGUCGUCCGACGCCCACAAGUCCGCCUCCUCCCGCGCCUGCUGCAACUGCACUGCCGCCAAGGCCGCCUCGUCUGCCGACUGGGCCAGCACCGUAAGCAGCCCCGGCGGGUCGUCGGGGUCGCCGUCCUGCAUGAGGGCGGCCUGCUCCGGCGGGACGGGGACCAGCGCCGGGGCAGGGGGCGGCUGGUGUGCCGGGGCCCGUGGGGCGGGAGCAGGUGCGGCGUGGCGGCGGCUAGACCCGACCUCGGCGGUGAUGUCUCCGACGGGGCGGCCGGCCGCCACGUCCCUGAACGCGCCGAGGACGACGUCGAAAUCUUUGCCGCGCCAGAAGCCAUGGCGGGCCCUUCUGUUGUAACUGCCGCCAGGGAAGGCGCGGAGGUCCGCUGUCGUCGGCGGCGGGCCAAGUGUGGGUCUGCCGUCGGCGCCGAUCCUCCAUGGCCCCGGCACCUUGGUCACCGGCGGCACCAUCAGGCCGAACCGCGCGAGGUCCUCGGUGUGGCCGAUCGUGAGGCUGGACGGCCAGGCGCCGCCCGGCCAAGCCCCCUCGUCGGAGUCGCUCGAAGACAUGGCGGGCGCGGUGGAGUGGAGAAGAUGGAGUGGCGCGGUGGAGUGGAGAAGAUGGGGUGGAGAAGGCCGACACGGGUUGGCCUUUUAUAGCCGGCGGGGAGAGGGAGGCGUCGGUGGAGCGUCGGUGGGAGGCGGGCGGCCCGACGCGUGGGCAUGCGGCCGCGGCAGGCCCGAGGCGGAAGGCGGGCGGCAGUCGGCUGGUCGCCGCAGGCGCGGCAGCGGAGGCACGACAGAGGAGGCCAUCAGGCGGGCGCCCCGACGCGGCGGCGGGCGGCAGGCGGCCGGUUGUGGAAGGCGAGUGCAGGUGCGGCAGAGGCGACUGGUCAACGGCCGUCGGUGGCGCUUGGCGCGAGGAGGCGGUGCCGGCAUGAAUGCCAGAUUUAAUGCGGACAUGCAGUUAGUGCCCCAUGACAGACGCACCACGUCCACACGCACGCGCCACGCCCACGCCCACACGCACGCCCCACUGCCCGGUCAACGCCGUCUUAGAAUAAACCCUUGACCCGAUAUUGUGGGCCCAUGCCAUUGACCCCGACAUUGUGGGCCCACGCGUGCGGCUCGACUCGUUGGCUGUCGGCGGCUGCGCGGCGCGGCUCGCUCGGCAGCCCCAUAUACGCGGGCGCACGAGGGUAUCGGCGUCGACACGUGUGGGCAGUUUUUUUAUAUAAGACGAUCGUGCCCCUGGCCGCGAAGGGGUAUGGGCUAAUCUCAGUCUACACAACAGUGCAAGACUCCUGUAGGUUCAGCCCACUUCAGAGAAAUAUUAUCUAACUAAUUAAAUGCCCCUUCAAAUGCACAGCCAGGCGCCUAGAAGCUUCUUAUCAAAUAAUGUAAUUAAUUAGUGUGUGAAUCUUCUUUUAUAUGUAAACAAUGCUUUUACUACGUGAGUCCUCUUGAUUUGUUGGCCAGAGACUAAUAGAAAGAAGCAAACCUAUUCUUAACUUUUUCCUCUACCAAUCUAUUAUGAAGUUCUUAUAUACAAUGAAAAAAAUUCUUCUUGGUUGGUACUGAGUGUUGACAAGAAGGGAAAGGUGCAGGUAAGCUAAUAGGCCUUUCCGUACGGAAAAUACACUUUGGUUCCUGGUUGUAUAUGCAUCUUAUAUGGGGAUUUUUUUAAAUAUUUUAAUAAAAAGUCAAAAUAGGUAAGAACUAUUUUGACAAAACACUUGACUUACUUUUGCACUGAUAUAUAAAUCUCGACGAAAAAAAAACA